AGAAAGCAAGCUUAGUAACAAGUAAACUCACAAUCUCAUCAAAAGCAAAAUCUCAAGUUCUUUAAAAAGAAAUUAUGACCAAGUGUUGUUAUCAGAGAAAGUAAUGUUCUGAAUUACUUACAGGCUGUGGUCACAAUAACACUUCAGCAAACGGUGUAAAUUGCUAUACUUGUAAAUAUAAUCAGUUUCCUGCUUUUAUACAGAGAAAGUGUUUGUCUACAAAAUUUCUCACGAGUAAUUUCAUUAAUUUGCUUGAAAAAAAAUAGGCUAGAUUUUAUACUUCAUUAAGUUUGCUUAGCUUAAGAAAACCUUAUAUAAAAUUUCAUGAAUAAAAAAUAAUUCAGAAUUGAAUGUGAAUCUUACUUUUCUAGGACUGAAGUUGCCAGUUAGGCAUACUAAAAGGUUUGUCUUACUACAUACUUCGUUGCUCUCUAAUAUGAAGCCACUUGACAAGAUAGUUUAAGAACUGUAAUAGUUAUUCAUCACUUUCAUUGUGUUAUGAAGAGUACAGGGAGUUCUCUGAAGGAAGAAGCCAAAGCAUGAUGGAAACUUUAAUACUGAAAGUUAUGAGAAUACCUGUCUGCUGUAAUUUUUUGGCUAAGUUGCACAUUUUGAGAGAUGGCAAGGAAAGUAAAGGAGAGAGUCUGAAGAAUUCUCAAAGUCUAAAGAGAAAAAUUAAGUUGGGAAUUAAAGCUAUAGUCGUCCUGCAUCUCUUCCAGAAAUAGGUGGUAAAAUAUUCACUAAUUAAGUCUGACCUUUUAGCAAGAAACACUAUUGGCAAAGAACUCUGAAACCUACUAAGCUGAUCUGUAAACACAGGUUUUAAGUCUUUUAUAAAAAUCAAAAUCCAAGUUAGUUAUGAGUACAAUAAUUCAGUGUGCAAAAAUUUUGCAUCUUUAAUGAAAAUGUUUUAGUAGUACUGGUUGGUGUUGAUCAUGCUAUCUGCUUAUGGUGUUAUGCAUCACCCUUAGUAUGUGGUUGGGAAAGACAGUCAUUAAGGUGAAGACCUUUAAAGACGUUUAUCUAGCUCUUCCUGAUGUUGACAGACAAUUAUAUAGCAGAAUGACUAGUAAGUCCAGACCCUACAAUUCUGAUAGGGUUGGAAUCAUCAGAAGGGUGUGAGAUCUUGUGCAAUGACAUCAAAAUCAUGAUUCCUCUUUUUGCAUUUGCCUAGUGGUUACUAUCGAACUAGUGAGAGACACCAUCUUAAAGGGAAACAAAGGGAGAAAUCAAGUUAAAAAUGUAACUGGGUCUGGUUAGGGCCAAGUUGUAGGUUUGGAUUAUAUUCUCUAUGUUAUAAACCCAGCUCAGUUAUUCAAGGUAGCUCUGGACAGUCAGCUGGAUUCAGCUGAUAACUUGGCCUCGGCACAAAGACCAAAACUAGUAGCAAGAUUGGCAGGAGUACAAGGAGGUGACUUCAGCAGUCCCAGAUAUUAGUGUGUAAGGAGAUUUGUUAGCUCAUUAUCUCAUAAAUAUUAGUAUUAGUCUACCCAGUUCUAAUUAAGCACUUUGUUGACAUAUUAUGGAAGCUUUGCACCACUGACUCAGUACCUUUAGGGCCAUACCCAAGGGUUUCCAGAUUUACCCAUAUUUUCUGUAACCCUGCUCUCCUUACCCUUCUCUAGGGUAAUCCCUAGAGAACAGAAAACUGUCUGAAAGCAUACUUAAGACAGCCCUCUGUCCAAGAUUUCUUAAGUAUGUCUUCUUUCUGCAUAAAUUCUGUCUAGACAGAUUCAGGGAUUGUCUAAACUUGUUCUGGAUUUCUGGAUGUUUUCUAGCUCAUAAAGCUGGCUGUUACUGCACAGACACAGCGACUCCAAGUAGGCUGCCACACCUCUUGAAAUCCCAGCCAUGCCCACAACGCAGAUGCUGUCUUGAAAAGCAUUAAGCUAUCAAGGGAUAUGCUAAUCAAGUGUAUUAUACCUGUCCCGAAGCUACCGAAAAGACUCUAAUCAGCAAAGAGUUCCAGUUUUAAAACAGAAGACAACAAACCUUUCUACCAAUAUCAUAACAUCUAUAACAGACAGAGCGUUGGGCAGAAUGGUGCACAGAAUCCUACAACAUCAACAAAGAAGACAGUAAGGAUCUUAUCCAGUAAGUGGUCAGCUGGAUAUUGGGAGUUCAAGAAAUGUGCUAAGUGACAUAAAACUGGAACAUCUGCAUGGUAAGUCAUUUUCAAGCAUCAGUUCACUGUGGUUGAAGAAAACAUCAUCUAGACAGAACACCAAACAUGCUCACAGAGUUAAUCACACCUCAUGUGCCGCAAGACAAUUUGAAACGUCAUCUGUGUUGCAUUUGUUAUAUAUACGAAAGUAAGCAUAUGUGAAUAAUUAUUGGUUUGGGGAGGAGUUUAACAGCACGUGAGAUUUAAAAAAA